rnacentral:lncRNA from 1 species
AUAAAGCUAAGAAUCUCUGAAAAAUCUGUUCCUGAGUGAUUUAUCUGAUACAUGUACAUUUUCAUAGGUUGGCUUUGGGGGAAACACCACACAGGCGUGGUGAAGAGUCUGAUGUGGAAAAGGGGAAAUGUCAGUCAUGACUCAUGUUUUACAGAUGCCUUCAAAAAUUCCAGAAGCAUCUUGAGCUUCUCCUCAUCUUGUCCCAACAUGACCCCUUAACUUCUCUCCUAGGGAAUGGGAAUAAAAUUUGUUGUGAUAGGAGAUGUGG